GAUGAACGCUGGCGGCGUGCCUAAUACAUGCCAGUCGAGCGAACAGACGAGGAGCUUGCUCCUCUGACGUUAGCGGCGGACGGGUGAGUAACACGUGGAUAACCUACCUAUAAGACUGGGAUAACUUCGGGAAACCGGAGCUAAUACCGGGUAAUAUAUUGAACCGCAUGGUUCAAUAGUGAAAGACGGUUUUGCUGUCACUUAUAGAUGGAUCCGCGCCGCAUUAGCUAGUUGGUGAGGUACCGGCAUACCGAGGCAACGAUGCGUAGCCGACCUGAGAGUGAUCGGGCCCACAGGGAAUGUGACACGGCCCCGAGUCCUGCGGGAGGGGCCAGUGGGGGGAAUUGCGCGAAAGGGGAAAGCGUGAGGCAGCAACACCGCGGGGGGGAAGAAGGGGUUCUGGUUGUAAAACCCUUUUAUUAGGGAAAAAAAAAAAUGUGUGAAUAACUGUCCGGGCUUAGGGGACCCCAAAAAGAAGACCCGGGUAAAUACGUG
rnacentral:rRNA from 1 species